AAAUCCCUGCCAAACCGAAGUCUGACGUUAUGCGUCAGAUACUAAUGUAGGUGCGGUGGGGGUUU
rnacentral:sRNA from 12 species